AACGAACGCUGGCGGCAGGCCUAACACAUGCAAGUCGAACGCUCCGCAAGGGGAGUGGCAGACGGGUGAGUAACACGUGGGAAUCUUCCUAUUGGUACGGAAUAGCUCAGGGAAACUUGGGGUAAUACCGUAUAAGCCCGAGAGGGGAAAGAUUUAUCGCCAGUAGAUGAGCCCGCGUCUGAUUAGCUAGUUGGUGAGGUAAUGGCUCACCAAGGCGACGAUCAGUAGCUGGUCUGAGAGGAUGAUCAGCCACACUGGGACUGAGACACGGCCCAGACUCCUACGGGAGGCAGCAGUGGGGAAUAUUGGACAAUGGGCGCAAGCCUGGUCCAGCCAUGCCGCGUGAGUGACGAAGGUCUUCGGAUUGUAAAGCUCUUUUGGCGGGGACGAUAAUGACGGUACCCGCAGAAUAAGCCCCGGCUAACUUCGUGCCAGCCGCCGCCGUAACAC
rnacentral:rRNA from 1 species